GGGCCGUUGGAGCAGCCCGGAGUGCUCGUCUCCCUGUCACGGAGAAGGUCACGGGUUCAAAUCCCGUACGGCCCG
rnacentral:tRNA from 1 species